rnacentral:lncRNA from 1 species
GCCAAAACAUUCUGCUCUGCUUCCUCCGAAUGUUACUACAAUGAGGGCACAUGCUUGGCUUCCAAAUCCCACUUCUGUUCACUUCAUCGAACAUGUAUAAUAAUGCAGAAACAGGGUGUCGUUCAGGACCCUCCACUGUUAUAUCAAAUUUUCCAUCAGAUGUUCCAACCUUCACCACAACAGAAAACCCAACAUCUGUUGUUUCACUUGAUCUGUUAACAGCUCCUGUUCCGUUACUAUGAACAAAAUAGUGUGCCGUAGUCACUGCCUUAACCUCUCCAUGAUAAUCAUUUUUCUUGCUCUGGCAAACAAGAAGACCGCACCUGUUUGCAGUGCCAUAGAAGUAAAGUUUGGUGUCCGUAACACCACCCCAUGCAUCAACGUUCUUCUCCGUCCUCGUCCACGCGAUGAAACUGCUGUUAGACUUAUAUUCCAUCGUAAUAAAACCGGUUUCGAAUUUGGUUAUAUGCAGGCAUAGCUUUUCUCCUUGUAAACAUGCUAUGCUGUCAUGGAGAAGCAACGAUACGAAGCUGACAUGGCCGUUUUGCUCAACACAUCUGUUUAACAUGAGGUUGCACGUUGACCCUUCAACGGUGUAUGAAACUUCUGCCUUGUCGGAAUAUGAUCCAUCAUCCCAUUUGUAAAACACAGAUGUGGUCAAGUUGAUGGAAGCAUAUCUUCCCAGUUGAAGAUGGCAUGGAAAAGGAAGACUCCCUCUAUGACGGUAAAAACAAGCAACGUUGUUGUUUCCCAUCUUUUUGUGUGGUGAAUGUGCAGUGUUAUUCAAAAGAAUAAUGGGAAACUAAACCAGUUAUUGUCUUCUCCGGUGAGCAUGGUUGGGAAGUUCACAUGCCAAAACUAUAAAUACACUCAUUUUAGAAUGAUUUUUUCACUCUCUCACUGUAUUGGAAGCGUUGUUCUUCAGCUAAAUUAUUGAUUUCCUAGCAUCUAAUUCUCUGCCAUAUUUUUCCAAACCACUUUUCUCUUUCUUGUGUUUAUGCUUUUUCUUUUAUUCUUCCACUUCCAUCAUUCUUCAUUCAUUUCAAAAACAGUUUAUGGGUGGUUUUUAGCAUACCUUUCUUUUAGUUUUAAAAUCAUUUUCUUCUUCUUCUUCUAAAUUUUCAGCUAAAAAUAAACUCAUUUUCUUAAAAUCAGGUUAGUUAUGUUUAUGCAUUGCGAUAAUUUUAAAUAGUGUUUGAAAUAAGAGUUUGUUCUUAUAACGGAUUCUUCUUAAAGAGAUUCAAUCACACCAUAAUCAUACUUUUCAAAUAAUCGAAUAUCUAAUAGCUAUAUAAUAUUUUAAAGUCUCGUCGUUUGGGUUUAUUUAUGUCGAAAGGUCGUGGAUCACAAGUAUAACGAUAUGUAUUAAUGAUAGUAAGAUUAUUCUUUUAGAAUUAAAAAUUAAAUUUAUAAUAUUUUUUUUAAAGAAUAAAAUAUAUUCUUUGACCAAAUAUAUUCUUAUUUAAAGAUUACAUUUAUACUUCAAUGCUUUAGUUUAGUGCAGAACAUAAAAUAUGUAAUUCCUAAAACGUGGACCAGGUCUCCAAAGUUUAAUAUUUUUGUAAUUUAUAUUGAAAUUUUAAUUUGAGACAGGUUUACUACAAGAAAAUCAUGAAAUAGAAACCAAUUUUUAGAGACCAAAAUAAUUAGUUGCAAUAGUAACUAAAUUAGAUAUCAUUUUGAAAACUAAAACAAAAAUUGGUUUCUAAAUUAGUUUCUAUUAUUGUUAAAUAGUUUCUAAAUUGUUCCCAAGGUUUUAGAGACUAAAUUUAGAGACUAAAUUUAGAAACUAAAUAAUUGGUAGAUAAAACUUGGUUGCUAAUUAGAGACCAAUUUAGAAACUAUUUAACAAUAAUAUAAAAUAAUAGAAACUAAUUUAAAAAUCAAUUUUUGUUUUAGUUUCUAAAAUAAUUUUUAAUUUAAUUACUAUUGCAAUUAAUUAUUUUGAUUUAUAAAAAUUGAUUUCUAUUGGAUUAUUUUCUGUUUGUUGCAUUAGAAAUAGUGAUUAUUAAUAAAGUUGGUCACACAUUCAUGUAUACAUUUGUAUUAGAUAUGAAUCAGUAUAUAACUUUAAGGACAUCAUCACCAGUAGAUUUGUCUUAUGAUCCAUAAUAUACAUUCUAGAAUUUAAUUUAAAUUUUUAUGUUAUUAUUAUUUAUUUAAAAUAAGUAUAUUUUAGAUUUUUUUUUCUUGUAGUAAUUUCGUGUUGGUACACUAAAAAAUUAAUGAUCAUCUUAUACAUAACUUUGAAUAAACUCGUUAUUAAAAGUUUUGAUUUUGAACUAUCAUGUUAGUUUAAUUUUUAUUUCAUCAAUUUUUUUAUAAUUUUAUAAUUAUUUUAAAUUAUCUAUUAUCAUGUUUUUCAAUGUAAGAAAAAAAUAAAACAAUUCGUUUUAUUUUCUCAAAAUUAAAUAUUUUAUUUAGAUCGAAAUUGAUAAUAUGAAAAGAAAAUAACUAAAUUUGAAAGAUGAGAGUGUAAAAACUUCUAAUUCUUUAAUUUGAGGUACAUUUUAACAUUAUCUAAUUUUUAAAUAAUUAAAUUAUUCUUAUAAAUUUUUAUAACUUCAACUUUUUUUAUCUAAACAAAAUAUUUCAUCAUAAAAUAUUUCAAAAUUUUUAUAAAACUAAUUACCUCUAAAUAUCUUCAUUAAAAGACACUAAAAACUUUUAAAAAUGAAAAGUUUAUAUUUUAUAAUAAGAUUUUCCAUGUAUAGAACAACAAUAUUUUUGUAAGACUAAUUUGUACAUAUAUUGAUUAAAAAAAUUAAUUACAUUAUUUCGGAGGACCAACUACAUAUCUGUCCAAUAAGAAAAUCAUUAAAUAAAAACUAAUUUUAAAAGAAAAAUAAUUAAUUACUAUAUUGAUUCAAUUAGAUAUUAUUGUAUAGACUAAAAAAUUUAUUGAUAUCUAAACUAGUUUUUAUUAUUAAUAAAAUUUAUCAAAUAGUUUCUAUAUUAAUAUUUAAUUAACUACCAAUUAAUUUAGAUUAUGAAGUGUUUAGCUAAAACAUUGAUAGUUAAUUAUAUACUAAUCUAGAAACUUUUAAAGUUUUUUUUAAUAAUAGAAACUACUUUACAUAUACCAAUAAUUAUUAUAUAAUUUAUUCAAUAUAUUAGUAACUAUUUUUUUUUCUUUUAAAUUUUUUUUAUUUAAUUAUUUUUUUAAUGUUAAUUAUUAGUGUUGAUUUAGUCUCGAUUUAGAGGCUGAUUUAAGAUUAAUAUUGUUACUUCUUAAUUAGUUUUUAAAAUUAAAAUUACUUAAAUUUUGAAUAUGUAGAAUAGAUAUAUUAAUAUGUCUUUUUAUAUAUUGAUUUUGGGAAACACUUUACCAUAAAAUUUUAAUUAAUCACAUGUUAGCUAUAGCAGACUAAGUUUAUAGUGCCAAUUUAUAUAGCUAAAGACUAAGAUUCUAUCUAUAAAUUAUAUUUAUGUUUAAUUCUUCUUAUUGUUAUGGUAUGAAUCCUUAUAUUGUGUUUCAUUUUUAUAUUUCUCAUUUUUCUUCUGUUACAUAUCGAGUAGAUUGAAACAAAUCCAAAGAACAUAAUCUCCAAUAUAUAUAUAUAAAAUAAUGGAACAAAUGAAAGAAUUAAACAAGUGGAUGAAUCAAACAAGUGGAAAGAGAUGUUGAUUAUCUUAAUCUAUUUUUUUAUUAGCAAUAAUGAAUAAAUAAAUAUGGAACACUUUAGGGGUGAACCAAUCAUUAUACAACUUAAAAAAACAACCAACUAACUACCAACAAAACUACUCUAAAGCCAACCAAACUACUCUAAAACAAGAAGUCCCAAAACCAUAUACCAGCAAAGCUAAAACCAAAUCUAAAUCGAGUUUAGACAAACCAUAGGUUCAAGACACCAAUCUGAAUAAGAAAAACAAACAGAUGAAAUUUUAGAGGAAAUCCAAUACCAAACCUUCAAUUGAGCCAAAGAGAAAGGCUCUGAAAGAUCCGCCACUACACCUUUAAAGAUGACCUUGUUCCUAACACACCAGAUUUCACUAAUCCCCGCAAUCCAGACAUUCCCCAAGACAAAAUUGACAGAAUUAGGUGCAUUGUCAGGUUAAACUGCAAGAAAUGAGUAUGAGGAUUAAAAGAAUCAACUGACUUCAACCCUAACCACACGUAAUAGAGACUCCACACUAACCAAGUGAAACGACAACCAAAAAACAUAUGAAGAGAAUUCUCCUCUUUUUCCCUGCACAAGCUACACAAAAUAUUUUCAACCGCAAUCCCAUGUCUGACCAAAUUAGCUUUGGUUGCGAUCUUGUUUUCCAUUACCCUUCAAGCAAAAAAAUGAGCAAAAGGCAAAGCUUCAAUCCUCCAAAAGGCCUUAAAUGAUUGCAGAUGCUCCUUCAGAAUCUCCUUUUAGAAAAACAUAAGCGGACUUAACCGAAAACUCUAAACUUGCGACAUCUUUCCCUGGCCCACUUAUCAACUCUUUCCAAAUCAAGGUCUUGCACCACCUUCAGAAGUUGGUCGACCUGGUUCUUCUCCCCGACAAAAAGGCUCGUUCUCCAAACCAAAUUCCAUUCCCACCCAUUGUUAACCCAAGUCCCACAAUAGUCCAAUGAAACUUCUUUAGAAAUACUAAGUAAGAGAAAAAAGCCUUGGAAAUUUACUCUUUAGGGCUUCAUUACCCACCAAUCUAUCCUUCUAGAACUUAAUAGACUACCCAUUUCCAACUUUUAAACCAAAACGGUCUUCAAACCUCCUACCCCAGUCCUCUAACUUCUUCAGAUCCCCAACCCCAUAAAAAGAUUCACAAUCUUUUUCAACACUACAGAAGGUACCUUAAACAUAAAUAGAUAAAACAACGAGAUAGACCAGAGAACAAACUUCAUCAAAUAGAUUAUGACAUUAUAUAUAUAUAUAUAUUAUAUUAUAUAUAUAGAAAGAAUAUUAAUAUUUUUAUCAAUAAAAAAAAUAUAUUAAUAAAAUAAAAUAGUUCUUGUCACUUCAACUCAUUUAUAAAUAGCUAAUCGUACAUAAAUGAGAUUAAAAAAAAUUACAUCAAAAUAAUUAUAAAUCUACAAACUUUCUUCUCACAUUUUACCAGAUUAUAUAAGGUAAAAAUAGAUUCACACAAGAUUAUUAGAUUCCUCCCACAAACACAACAGAAAAGACUACUCAAGAGAGGAAAAAAAAAAGAUCAUCUCUCCAACAUUAAACAUCAUCCUUAGCAUAGAUUAUUUGAUUCCAUAUCAGUGUAACCUUUUAAGAAUAGCUAGCCUCCAUCAACUCACAAAACACAUUCAUAAACACAUUCAUCUUGCAUUAACAUUAUCAUUAAAAUAUAUAUACAUACACAAAGUUAGGGUUUUCCCUUAACUAAAAGCAUAGAAAUCUCUGCAUCUAAUGGAGGCACCACAAGCAUGCCCGUUGAACUUUCCAUCAGAAUUGUAUAUUCUUACUGCAUUUCCCUGCCUGCCAUCGCUCUCUUCACUAUCAGUCUGCGAAGAAGACAUGUUCCUCCGAACGUUACCACAAUGAGGGCACAUGCUUGGCUUCCAAAUCCCACUUCUGUUCACUUCAUCGAACAUGUAUAACAAUGCAGAAGCAGGGUGUUGUUCAGGACCCUCCACGGUUAUAUCAAAAUUUCCAUCAGAUAAACCAAUCUUCACCACAACAGAAAACCCAAUAUCUGUUGUUUCAGUUGAUCUGUUAACAGCUACUGUUCCGCUACUAUGAACAAAAUAGUGUGCAAUAGUCAGUGCCUUAGCGUGUUGAUGACCAUCAUUUUUGUUGCACUCCCAAACAAGAAGACCGCACCUGUUUGCAGUGCCAUACAAGUAAACUUUGGUCUCCGUAACACCACCCCAUGCAUGAAGGUUCUUCUUUUUCUUCGUCUUAAAAAUGGCGUCCGAAAUAGUUUGGACCUUAAGAAGAUCGGUUUCGGCUUUGUUUAUAUUCAGGAAUAGCAUAUCUACUAUGCUGUCACGGAGUUCGAACGAUACACACCUGACAUAGCUGUUUUUGUUAAUCGCUCUUCUUAACGCGAGGUUGCACGUUGACCCUUCAACGGUGUAUGUAACAUCUGCCUUAUCGUGAUAUGAUCCAUCAUUUCUCUUGUAAACCACAGAUGUGGUCAAGUUGAUUGAAGCAUAUGUUCCCAGUUGAAGAUGGCAUGGAAAAGGAAGACUCCCACUAUGACGGUAACAAACAACGUUGUUGUUUCCCAUGUUGUAGUGUGUAGAAUAGAUGCAGCAGAACACAAAAUAUUGGAAUGGAUGAGUUGAAGAAGGUGUGGAGUUAUUCAAAACUAGUUCUUGUCUUCUCUCAUGUUCACAUGCCAAAACUAUAAAUACACUCAUUUUGGAAUCAUCUUUUCACUCUCACUGUAUUGGAAGCGUUGUUCUUCAGCUUAAUUAUUGAUUCCCUAGCCACUUUUCUCUUUCUGGUGUUUAUGCUUUUUCUUUUAUUCUUCCACUUCCAUCAUUCUUGAUUCGUCUACUUUCGAUUCUAUUGUGCAGUGUUGAGUUAGUCUUAGUAGAAUUUACACGAGAGUUAACCCAAGUUGAAAAGAGACCCAAUCACAUUUUUAUCAUACUUUGUAUAUAUUAAUGACUAAAUAAUGUUUUAAAAUCUCAUCAUUUGAGUUUAAGUAUGCCAAAAGCUGUCGACCAUUCAACCAUGUGAGCAACUAGUUGUACAAGAAUAUAUCGUUAUGUAUUAAUAAUAGUAAGAUUAUUCUUCUAUAAUUAAAAAUUAAAUUUAUAAUAUUUUUUAAAGAAUAAAAUAUGUUCUGUAACCAAAAUAUAUUCUUAUUUGAAAGUUACAUUUUAUACUUCAAUGCUUUGGUUUAGUGCAGAACAUAAAAUAUGUAAAAACAAACAUUCACUCCUUCAUAUCCUUGACCAAAAGCAUAUCUGCAGCAUCCGACAGAUCAAUAAUUUUGCACCAGAAUAGCACAUUGAGGAUUUUAAUCUGCAUCACAACAAAAGAACCUGCCAGCAGCACCUAAAAGCAUAUACCAUAACGCAAAUAAAACCAGAAUUAACAGCAUCAUGGCACACCCUUGAGAGGAACAUGAGCCCUGUUCAUCCAACUGAAACCAUUCUCACAAUGAACCUGCCCUUUCCAACUACCUGCAGCUUUUAAUGCAGAUAACAAGAUUCAAAUCUCAAUCCGAAAACGAAAAAUUAAAGGCAUUAUUGACCUGUGUUUCAACCAUAGCAAGUGUGAAUGAACUCGUUAAUAAAAGUUUUUGUUUGGAAUUUAUCUAGUAAAAAUUGAGUUUACACUAUAAAAAAAUAUUAAAUAAAAACCAAUUUUAAAAAGAAAAAAUAAUUAGUUAUUAUAUUAAUUAAAUUAGAUACAAGAUUAAAAUAAUUAUUGAUAUCUACACUAGAUUCUAUUAUUAAUAAAAUUUAUAAAAUAAUUUUUUUACAUAUAUAUAAUUAACUACUAAUUAAUUUAAAUUAUAAUGUGUAACUAAAACAUUAAUAUAAACUUUUAGAAAUUUUAUUAAUAAUAUAAAUUAAUUUACAUACCACUAAAUUUUUUACUACAUAGAGUAUUAUAUAAUUUAUUUAAUAUGAUAAUUAAUUAUUUUUUUCUUCUAAAAUUUAUGUUUAUUUAAUAAUUUUAUUUUCUAAUGUUAGUUAUUAGUCUCAAUUUUGAGGUCGAUUUGAUAUUAAUAUUGUUACUUCUUAAUUAGUUUUUAAAAUUAAAAUUACUUAAAUUUUAAAUAUAUCAAAUAAUAGAAAUAUUAAUAUGUUCCUUUAUAUAUAUUGAUUUUUUUUUUAUCAUCAAGAAUCAAUAAAUAAAUAUGGAUCACUUAAAGAAUGAUUAACCUUUAUACAAAAGAAAAAAAAAAAACCUUACAUCCUAACCUAAACCAAGCCCUCAAGAGAAGCUACCAACUAACCCUUAUCCCAAUCAAAACACAACCAUAUGAAUUCACCCAUGGCAACAACCAAAGUGUACCAACACCAUAAACACCUAGAAUCGAAAUCAUAAAUAAACCAUCAAACAUAAAUUACUAGCAAAUAUAGGAACUUAUAAAACUUUUUACAAAGAUCAUACCAGUUGUACAACCCACUAACUCAACAAAAAAGAACAAAAGGUAACAUUUUUCACUUCCCUUAUACUUUUCCUUUGGAUCUCUUUAUCCUAAAUUAAGAUAUAAAAGCUCCUGAAGGAAACCAACCCCUUACUCCACAUAGGAGGAUAUACUCUUAAAGACCCUUGUGCAAAACACAUAAUUUUUUCCUUCUUAAAAAAGGAGUUAGAGAUAUAAACCAAGAUAAGGGAGACUAGAUUAUUUCACAAUUUGGAGCCAUAGGAAUAAGAUUAUUUUCAAAGGUGGAGUUUUUUUUUAUUAUUAUGAUCUUUUCUUUGAUUCAAGUGAAGGUUUGGUCUUGGAUCACUCAUAAAUUUCCCUUUGCUUGUUUUUCUUUUUCCGAUCGGUGUUUUGAUCCUUUGAUCUGGCUUCCUUCACUAUAGCUCGUUGUUGAUAGUUGUCUUAGGCAAGGUUCGUUUAUUGAGUAGUUGUCUGAAAGUUGUUGGGUUGUUAGAGUAUCAUUGUUUCUUUGUAUAUGGGUUGGAUCACCCAUAAAGUGGUUCAUAUGUAUAUAUUAUUUAUAGUUGAUAAAAAAACAAUUUUUAUAUAUACCAAAGGUUUCAACACAUUCUAAAUUUUUUUUUUUAAUGGUAAUCCAAUUCCAAGAUUGAGAAUGCAACCUCAAAUAGCUCAUGAUUGCAUUUGGAGAAAGGAGAGAUUAUUUGGUGGCUCCAAGAACCCCACACGGUUUCUGCAAAGUCAGCAUGCCCAUUCUCAUCAUCAUCAACUUUAAAAGAAGGAUUAUGAAACUCACUCAGCUCCACAUUGAAGAAAAAGAAACCUUAUUUUGACAUGGAUCACUAUAGUCUGUGUCAAAUUUAUUUUAUUUUUUUCUUAUUUUCUUCUGUUACAAUCGCAAUUUCUUAUAUAAUAUAUAUGUGUAAAGUAGGCAACACAUUAAUAUCAUAGAAAUAGGCUAUAUAUAUAUAUAUAUAUAUACACACACACACACACGCACAGGGUCUUCCUUCAAUUAAAACCAUAGAAAUAUUUGCAUCUGAUGGAGCUACAAUUGGCAUGCCCUUUGAACCUUCCAUCAUUGGCAAUGCUUGCUUUAUUUUUCUGGCUGCCAUGAUGUGGUGGUAGGGGAACACCAUCACUGUCUUCACUAUCAGAGAGCCAAGACAUGUUCCUUCGAAUGUUACUACAAUGAGGGCACAUGCUUGGCUUCCAAAUCCCACUUCUGUUCACUUCAUCAAACAUGUAUAAUAAUGCAGAAACAGGGUGUCGUUCAGGACCCUCUGCUCUUAUAUCAAAUUUUCCAUCAGAUAAACCAACCUUCACCACAACAGAAAACCCAACAUCUGUUGUUUCACUUGAUCUGUUAACACCUCCUGUUCCUUUACUGUUAACAAAAUAGUGUGCCAUAGUCACGGCCUUAGCCUGUUGAUGAGAAUCAUUUUUGUUGCACUCCCAAACAAGAAGACCGCACCUGUUUGCAGUGCCAUACAAGUAAAUUUUGGUGUCCGUAACACCACCCCAUGCAUCAACCUUCUUCUUCGUCUUCGUCCACGGGAUGGAAUUGUGAUUCUUAAAGUCGACCGUACCAAGAAAACCGGUUCCGGUUUUGUUUAUCUGCAUGCAUAGGUUGUCUCCGUCUAAACAUACUACGGUGUCAUGGAGAAUGAAGGUUAAUAAGUUGACACCGCUGCUGUAAACAGAUUUUGUUAACAUAAGGUUGCACGUUGACCCUUCAACGGUGUAUGAAACUUCUGCCUUGUCGGAAUAUGAUCCAUCAUCCCACUUGUGAACACAGAUGUGGUCAAGUUGAUGGAAGCGUCUCUUCCCAGUUGAAGAUGGCAUGGAAAAGGAAGACUCCCACUAUGACGGAAAAAAACAACGUUGUUGUUUCCCAUGUUUUUACUGUGUAGAAUAGAUGCAGCACACCACAAAAUAUUGGAAUGGAUGAGUUGAAGAAGGUGUGGAGUUAUUCAAAACUGUUCUUGUCUUCUCUCAUGUUCACAUGCCAAAACUAUAAAUACACUCAUUUUAGAAUAUUUUUUCACUCUCACUGUAUUGGAAGCGUUGUUCUUCAGCUUAAUUAUUGAUUCCCUAGCCACUUUUCUCUUUCUGGUGUUUAUGCUUUUUCUUUUAUUCUUCCACUUCCAUCAUUCUUGAUCCAUCUACUUUCGAUUCUAUUGUAUUGUGCAGUGUUAGUUUCUCUUUAACAGUAGAGUUUCAAAACCAGUUUAGGGGUGCUUUUUAGCAUACCUCACUUUUAGUUUUAAAAUCACUUUCUUCUUCUUCUUCUAAAUUUUCAGCUAAAAAUAAACUACUUUCCUUAAAAUUAGGUUAGUUAUGUUUAUGCAUUAUGAUAAUGUUAAAUAGAGUUAGAUAACUGAGAUAUGAGCCCCAGAUUAGUCCCACACGAUUUGCAAUAAAUUUUUUAUUCAUCACUGUCAGGGCUGAAAGGAAGGUUCGUUUGUGUGUGAAAAUGUUUGAUUUCUUUCGUGGGUGAAUACCCAUCCGUUUGAUCUGAAAUUUGUCGCGUUUUGUUCCAAAUUCAGUCGCGAUUCUUACGUGAAAUUUUAGAAAAAAACUAUUUCGGGAGAAUUUUUCAUAAAUUUUGUGCAAACCAAGGCUACCAAAACUUGUGAAAUUUCGCCAUACUUUCUGCAAUUUUUUUUCGGGUCCGUAUUGCGCUAGAAAAAUUCACACAUGUACUUUCAUAUGUUGUUUCCACCCAGGUAAGGAAGCACGUCCAUAAAAAAAUCACAAAAACAAGAUACGGGGUGGAAAAGCCACGACGUUCUGUUUUCAGAACACCAAUUUUGUUCACUCUCGGUCUGGGACUUAAUACACCUUACUCCUUGGGUAUUUUCGUUUGAAAUUUUUUUACCAGACAUUGGUCAUUGUGUCUAUCAAAUUUUGGUUGAGAUCUGAGCCCCAGAUUCGUCCCACAGGAUUCGCAGUAAAUAUUUUAUUCAUCACUGCCAGGGCUGAAAGGAAGGUUCGUUUGUGUGUUAAACUGUUUUAUUUUUUUUCUAGGUGAAUACUCAUCCGUUUGACCUGAAAUUUGUCGGGUUUUGUCCCAAAUUCAGUCGAGAUUCUUACGUGGAAUUUUAGGAAAAAACUAUUUCGGGGGAAUUUUUCAGAAAUUUUGUGCAAACCAAGGCUAUCCUCUACCAAAACUUGUGAAAUUCCGCCAUAUUUUCUGCAAUUUUUUUCCGAGUCCGUAUUGCGCUAAAAAAAUUCACACAAGUACUUUCAUAUGUUGUUUCCACGCAGGUAAGGAGGCACGUCCAUAAACAAAUCACAAAAACAAGAUACGGGGUGGAAAAGCCAUGACGUUCUUUUUUCGGAACACCAGUUUUGUUCACUCUCGGACUGGGAUUUACUAUGCCUUACUCCUUGGCUAUUUGGGUCCCAAAUUUUUACCAGACAUUGGUCAUUGUGUCUAUCGAGUUUUGGAUGAGAUCUGAGCCCCAGAUUCGUCACACAGGGUUCGCAGUAAAUUUUUUAAUCAUCACUGCCAAGGCUGAAAGGAAGGUUCGUUUGUGUGUGAAACUGUUUGAUUUUUUUCCUAGGUGAGUACUCAUUCGUUUGACCUCAAAUGUGUCGCGUUUUGUCCAAAUUUCAGUCGAGAUUCUUACGUGGAAUUUUAGGAAAAAACUAUUUCGGGAGAAUCUUUCAGAAAUUUUGUGCAAACCAAUGCUAUCCUCUACCAAAACUUGUGAAAUUCCGUCAUGCUUUCUGCAAUUUUUUUCUAGGUCCCUAUUGUGCUAAAAAAAUCUCACAAGUAUUUUUAUAUGUUGUUUCCACCCAGGUAAGGGGGCAUGUCAUAAACAAAUUACAAAACCAAGAUAUGGGGUAGAAAAUUCAGUACGUUUUUUUUUUCGGAAAACCAGUUUUGUUCACUCUCGGUCUGGGAUUUACUACACUUUACUCCUUUGGUAUUUUGGUCUGAAAUUUUUUCCAGACAUUGGUCAUUGUGUCUAUUGAGUUUUGGCUGAGAUCUGAGCCCCAGAUUUGUCCCACAAGAUUCGCAAUAAAUUUUGUUAUUCAUCACUGCCAGAACUGAAAGGAAGGUUCGUUUGUGUGUGAAACUGUUUUAUUUUUUUCUUAAGUAAAUACUCAUCCGUUUGGCCUGAAAUUUGUCGUGUGUUGUCCCAAAUUCAGUCGAAAUUCUUACGUGGAACUUCAAGAAAAAACUAUAUCGAGAGAAUUUUUCAGAAAUUUAUAGAAAUGAAGGUUUUAUAUAUGUAAAAAAUAAUAGAUAAAUAGUAAUGAUAGUUUGACAACAUAUUCCAAUAUACAAUUUGUGAUUGAUAAUAUGAAAAAAUGAUAUUUUUAUCAUGUUAUGUAAAAAUUGAAAUUUUAGACAAAGAAAUAAAGUUGCAAACUUAUGCAAGUUUUCAAUAUGUCACUUUUCAUAUAUAAAUAAAAUAAAAUAGUAUUUGGUACCUCCAACUCAUUUCUAUAAACAGUGAACUGGAUACAAAUAAUACCAUACAAAUCUUCAUCCAAAAUAACUAAAAUUAAGGAACUUUCUCCUCACAUAUUAUCCACAAAUAUAUAAAGUAAAAUUAAAGUCACAAAAAAUUAAUUUCCUUUGACUGACUCAAUAAAAAAAACUCAACACAGAAUGUCAUAAAGUUCAUAAUUAACAUUAUACAUGUUGUUUGACUCAGCUACUUAUAAGUUAGGGUUUUCCCUUAACUAAAAAUAUUGAAAUAUCUGCAUCUAAUGGAGGCACCAUUAGCAUGCCCGUUGAACCUUCCAUCAGCAUUGUAUAUUCUUACUGCAUUUCUCUGCCUGCCAUCGCUCUCUUCACUAUCAGACUGCGAAGAAGACAUGUUCCUCCGAACGUUACCACACUGAGGGCACAUGCUUGGCUUCCAAAUCCCACUUCUGUUCACUUCAUUGAACAUGUAUAAUAAUGCAGAAACAGGGUGUCGUUCAGGACCCUCCACUGUUAUAUCAUAUUUUCCAUCAGAUUCUGCAAUCUUCACCACAACAGAAAACCCAAUAUCUGUUGUUUCAGUUGAUCUGUUAACAGCUACUGUUCCGCU